rnacentral:lncRNA from 1 species
GCCUGGCAGUGUUUACCUUCCCGGGUGUGUUUGGGUGCACCCUCAUGCUCAUGCUUCUGACCCAUGCCGACUUCUGAAACGUCAGCGGCAUUUUCGGGUCCAGCACGCACCAUCAGCACAUCCCGUGGAAUCUGUGCCUGGAAUCAACGGCGGCAGCAGCAAGUUUCCACUCCGGGUCGGCUUUUGCAGGUGUGUCACUACACCAGUGGUUCCAUCAUCUCGGCCAUCAGCAAUGGAAUCGAUUGGCAUCCAUCCAGCCUCUUCUGUUCAAGAAUCUGUCCCGGGAUCACUUCCAAAACAGCCUUCCCGGGACAGCACACUCUGUACCUUCCUUCCUUAUCACCUUCCCCAGCAUAAACCCUGUCGUGUUUCAAUGGGUUGAGUGCACGUGCACACAGUAAUAGUUCUGUCCGUUGGAGUCGGAGGGCAUCGAUCCCCCUACCUCCCGCAUAUCAUCUGCGGCGCUCAGCAUCGCAUGCUAAGCGGGCGCUCUACCAUUUGAGCUACGACCCCUGUACAUCCUCACCACUCUGCGCUCGAUGACGGGAUCGAACCGUCGACCUUACGGUUAACAGCCGUGCGCUCUACCGACUGAGCUAACCGAGCAGGUCUGGCAGAUGGAUGUACGGCAGCACCAAGCAUACGCCACAUGCCGUACUGUACGAGUGCUACGGCUGAACCUGUGCACCGUGCCGUACGACAAAAGAACAGAAAAAAUGCGAUGCGAUUAGGUUGAUACAACCUACUGCAUACCAAGGUGCAGGUAAUGCGUCAGCAACCAGCUGCAAACAGGGCUCUAUCGAUGUAUUGUUCGGGUCCGUGCCGUCAGUGCACACCAGCAUAACACAUAAGAAAUGGGGACCUGCAAUUCAUUCAUGCAAAAAAUGUAAUAAUGUAGCUGGCCGCUCGUCGCUGGCCGCCGAUUGGAAUGCUGGAAUAAAAAAAUACCCUGUGUUCGUGCAUGUAUGCCUUGAGGGGGUAGUAGCCGGCCCAGGCCAAAAAGGCCUCUCGAGAUGCGAGGAACAUGUGCUCCAGUGCGUAUUCAUGUAUGUUUUCGCGGGAAGCCUUCGUUGCAAAAAGGAAACAUAUGUAGCUGGCAAGCAAUGAAAACAGGGCCGGGUGUGGGUGCACUCCCCCGAAGCGACAACUAGGGCCUGCAGACCAACUACUUCAGGGCGGUAGUACACAAACACCCGAAGUAACCAGCACAACCACGCACGCAAGUCCAUGCAAAUCGUCCGUUGGAGUCGGAGGGCAUCGGUCCCCCUAUUCAUGCAAAAAAUGUAAUAAUGUAGCUGGCCGCUCGUCGCUGGCCGCCGAUUGGAAUGCUGGAAUAAAAAAAUACCCUGUGUUCGUGCAUGUAUGCCUUGAGGGGGUUAGUAGCCGGCCCAGGCCAAAAAGGCCUCUCGAGAUGCGAGGAACAUGUGCUCCAGUGCGUAUUUAUGUAUGUUUUCGCGGGAAGCCUUCGUUGCAAAAAGGAAACAUAUGUAGCUGGCAAGCAAUGAAAACAGGGCCGGGUGUGGGUGCACUCCCCCGAAGCGACAACUAGGGCCUGCAGACCAACUACUUCAGGGCGGUAGUACACAAACACCCGAAGUAACCAGCACAACCACGCACGCAAGUCCAUGCAAAUCGUACAGCGGCACUCCCAAUUCACAGGAAACUUUAGUUUUCUCGACGCUUCGCUUACAAAGCUAUGAGAUUGUGUGAAGAAGGGGGCAAUAGCUUCAUCCGUGGCCACCACUAGCCUGGCAGUGUUUACCUUCCCGGGUGUGUUUGGGUGCACCCUCAUGCUCAUGCUUCUGACCCAUGCCGACUUCUGAAACGUCAGCGGCAUUUUCGGGUCCAGCACGCACCAUCAGCACAUCCCGUGGAAUCUGUGCCUGGAAUCAACGGCGGCAGCAGCAAGUUUCCACUCCGGUCGGCUUUUGCAGGUGUGUCACUACACCAGUGGUUCCAUCAUCUCGGCCAUCAGCAAUGGAAUCGAUUGCCAUCCAUCCAGCCUCUUCUGUUCAAGACUCUGUCCCGGGAUCACUUCCAAAACAGCCUUCCCGGGACAGCACACUCUGUACCUUCCUCCGUAUCACCUUCCCCAGCAUAAAGCCUGUCGUGUUUCAAUGGNUUGAGUGCACGUGCACACAGUAAUAGUUCUGUCCGUUGGAGUCGGAGGGCAUCGAUCCCCCUACCUCCCGCACAUCAUCUGCGGCGCUCAGCAUCGCAUGCUAAGCGGGCGCUCUACCAUUUGAGCUACGACCCCUGCACAUCCUCACCACUCUGCGCUCGAUGACGGGAUCGAACCGUCGACCUUACGGUUAACAGCCGUGCGCUCUACCGACUGAGCUAACCGAGCAGGUCUGGCAGAUGGAUGUACGGCAGCAGCAAGCAUACGCGUUGCACGCCACAUGCCGUACUGUACGAGUGCUACGGCUGAAGCUGUGCACCGUGCCGUACGACAAAAGAACAGAAAAAAUGCGAUGCGAUUAGGUUGAUACAACCUACUGCAUACCAAGGCGCAGGUAAUGCGUCAGCAACCAGCUGCAAACAGGGCUCUAUCGAUGUAUUGGUCGGGUCCGUGCCGUCAGUGCACACCAGCAUAACACAUAAGAAAUGGGGACCUGCAAUUCAUUCAUGCAAAAAAUGUAAUAAUGUAGCUGGCCGCUCG